GGUGGCGCAUGCAGGGAGUGGGGAGUGAUGAUGGAUGAAGCUGGGGGUGGGGGAGGCGGGCCUCACAAGCCUCUAUCCUUAGCUUCUCUGAAGGAACUAAAGGGCUUUAUGCGAGGAAGGGCCAGGCUCAGGCUUGUGUUUAGAGUGCUUGCUCUGCUUUGAGAAGAGCCUACUGGAGAGAAGUGGAUCAAAGGCUGGAAGGUGGGCUAUGAGGACCCCAAGUGCUGUCCCCUAGAUUUCACCGAUGAGGAAACGGAGGUCUGGAUGCUGACUCCUUGCACAGGAUGGAGAAGCCCCUGGGAGGUGCUGAGAUUCUGGGGGGCCCGAUGUGGGUGAAGCAGUGAACCCCCUGAGGUGCCGAGAGGACCUGGCCAUGCACGUCCCCCAGGGCCCUGCCAGCUUUCUCUCUCACCUCUCGUCCUGUUUCAACCUGCUGGCCACCCCCUGCCUGCCCUUCGGGAAGACCAGGGCAGAAGCCUGGCCCCCAAGUCCCGAGGCAGGAGGACACCCUGGCAGGCCUGGGCCAGCUCAGCUCCCGGAGCUCUGCCCGCUGGCCUUCGCUCCUCUGGCGCCCUUUCCAGCCCUCUGAGGAAGCAGACACAGUUAGGCCUCGAAGCUGUGGCCUCGCCUCUCUCACCUGUCCUGCAGGACGUCAGUGCUCCCCACCACACUCACCGGGUGGCCCCACCGUGAGGAGCUGGAGAGACCUCAAGAGGGGCUCCUCUUGCUUUCAUUCAUUCGUUCAUUUAUGUGGCACCUGCUGUGUA
rnacentral:lncRNA from 1 species